rnacentral:rRNA from 1 species
AACGAACGCUGGCGGCGUGGAUAAGACAUGCAAGUCGAACGGGAUUUUUUUCUGUAGCAAUACAGGAAAAAGUCUAGUGGCGAACGGGUGCGUAACACGUGAGCAACCUGCCGUGAAGUGGGGGAUAGCUCGCCGAAAGGCGAAUUAAUACCGCAUGUGGCCAAGGAAGACAUCUUCCUGACGCCAAAGCCGGGGCAACCUGGCGCUUCUCGAGGGGCUCGCGGCCUAUCAGCUUGUUGGUGAGGUAACGGCUCACCAAGGCUAUGACGGGUAGCUGGACUGGGAGGACGACCAGCCACACUGGAACUGAGACACGGUCCAGACACCUACGGGUGGCAGCAGUCGAGAAUUUUUCACAAUGGGGGAAACCCUGAUGGAGCGACGCCGCGUGGAGGAUGAAGGUUUUCGGAUUGUAAACUCCUGUCAUUAGAGAACAAGGCACACGGUUUAACUGGCCGUGUGUUGAUAGUAUCUGAAGAGGAAGAGACGGCUAACUCUGUGCCAGCCGCCGCGGUAA